GACGAACGCUGGCGGCGUGCUUAACACAUGCCAGUCGAACGGAAAGGCCCUGCUUUUGUGGGGUGCUCGAGUGGCGAACGGGUGAGUAACACGUGAGUAACCUGCCCUUGACUUUGGGAUAACUUCAGGAAACUGGGGCUAAUACCGGAUAGGAGCUCCUGCUGCAUGGUGGGGGUUGGAAAGUUUCGGCGGUUGGGGAUGGACUCGCGGCUUAUCAGCUUGUUGGUGGGGUAGUGGGUUACCAAGGCUUUGACGGGUAGCCGGCCUGAGAGGGUGAACGGCCACAGUGGGCCUGAGAUAGGGACCAGACUCGUACGGGACGCAGCAGUGGGGAAUAUUGCACAAUGGGCGGAAGCCUGAUGCAGAAACGCCGCGUGCGGGAUGACGGCCUUCGGGUUGUAAACCGCUGUCGCAUGUGACGAAGCGUGAGUGACGGUAAUGGGUAAAGAAGCACCGGCUAACUACGUG
rnacentral:rRNA from 1 species